rnacentral:rRNA from 1 species
GUACCCCUACGGGGGGCAGCAGUGGGGAAUAUUGCACAAUGGGGGAAACCCUGAUGCAGCAACGCCGCGUGAGUGAAGGAGUAUUUCGGUAUGUAAAGCUCUAUCAGUAGGGAAGAAGAAAGACGGUACCUGACUAAGAAGCCCCGGCUAACUACGUGCCAGCAGCCGCGGUAAUACGGAGGAUGCGAGCGUUAUCCGGAUUUAUUGGGUUUAAGGGGUGCGCAGGCGGCGAGUUAAGUCAGCGGUAAAAUUUCGGGGCUCAACCCCGACGAGCCGUUGAAACUGGCUUGCUAGAGUGGGCGAGA